rnacentral:rRNA from 1 species
GAUGAACGCUAGCGGCAGGCCUAAUACAUGCAAGUCGAACGGUGUCUUCGGACAUAGUGGCGCACGGGUGCGUAACACGUAUGCAACCUACCUUACAUUGGGGGAUAGCCUUUCGAAAGGGAGAUUAAUACCGCAUAAGACAGUAGCUGGGCAUCCAGCAGCUGUUAAAGAUUUAUCGAUGUAAGCUGGGCAUGCGUCCAAUUAGCUAGUUGGUGAGGUAACGGCUCACCAAGGCAAUGAUUGGUAGGGGAACUGAGAGGUCAAUCCCCCACACUGGCACUGGGAUACGGGCCAGACUCCUAUGGGAGGCAGCAGUAGGGAAUAUUGGGCAAUGGACGCAAGUCUGACCCGGCCAUGCCGCGUGCAGGAUGAAGGCGUUAUGCGUUGUAAACUGCUUUUAUACAGGAAGAAACGACUCUUGCGAGAGGCAUUGACGGUACUGUAUGAAUAAGCACCGGCUAACUCCGUGCCAGCCGCCGCUGUAAAAC